AGUGAACGCUGGCGGUAGGCCUAACACAUGCAAGUCGAACGGCAGCACAGUAAGAGCUUGCUCUUACGGGUGGCGAGUGGCGGACGGGUGAGGAAUACAUCGGAAUCUACUUUUUCGUGGGGGAUAACGUAGGGAAACUUACUCUAAUACCGCAUACGACCUACGGGUGAAAGCAGGGGAUCUUCGGACCUUGCGCGAUUGAAUGAGCCGAUGUCGGAUUAGCUAGUUGGCGGGGUAAAGGCCCACCAAGGCGACGAUCCGUAGCUGGUCUGAGAGGAUGAUCGGCCACACUGGAACUGAGACACGGCCCAGACUCCUACGGGAGGCAGCAGUGGGGAAUAUUGGACAAUGGGCGCAAGCCUGAUCCAGCCAUACCGCGUGGGUGAAGAAGGCCUUCGGGUUGUAAAGCCCUUUUGUUGGGAAAGAAAAGCAGCAGGUUAAUACCCCGCUGUUCUGACGGUACACAAAGAAUAAGCACCGGCUAACUUCGUG
rnacentral:rRNA from 1 species